rnacentral:rRNA from 1 species
UGCGUAGGCGGCGUCGUAAGUCAGAAGUGAAAGCUCACAGCUUAACUGUGAAAUUGCUUUUGAUACUGCGGUGCUUGAAUUAGGUUGAGGUUAGCGGAAUGUGACAUGUAGCGGUGAAAUGCAUAGAUAUGUCAUAGAACACCAAUCGCGAAGGCAGCUGGCUAGGCCUAUAUUGACGCUCAGGCACGAAAGCGUGGGGAGCGAACAGGAUUAGAUACCCUGGUAGUCC